AAUAGAUACCCGGGUAGUCCAUGCCGUAAACGUUGGGCACUAGGUGUGGGGCUCAUUCCACGAGUUCCGUGCCGCAGCAAACGCAUUAAGUGCCCCGCCUGGGGAGUACGGCCGCAAGGCUAAAACUCAAAGGAAUUGACGGGGGCCCGCACAAGCGGCGGAGCAUGCGGAUUAAUUCGAUGCAACGCGAAGAACCUUACCAAGGCUUGACAUGCACGGGAAGCCACCAGAGAUGGUGGUCUCUUUGGACACUCGUGCACAGGUGGCGCAUGGUUGUCGUCAGCUCGUGUCGUGAGAUGUUGGGUUAAGUCCCGCAACGAGCGCAACCCUCGUCCCAUGUUGCCAGCGGGUUAUGCCGGGGACUCAUGGGAGACUGCCGGGGUCAACUCGGAGGAAGGUGGGGAUGACGUCAAAUCAUCAUGCCCCUUAUGUCUUGGGCUUCACGCAUGCUACAAUGGCCGGUACAAGGGCUGCGAUGCCGUAAGGUGGAGCGAAUCCCGAAAAGCCGGUCUCAGUUCGGAUUGGGGUC
rnacentral:rRNA from 1 species